AUGUUUGAUUGGGCAGAUCAGAACAACAGGGUCAUGAGUGAUGAAGAGUUCAAGCAGAAGCAGAUGGAUGUGGACAAGGACAUGGAGAAGCUAGCUAUCAGCAAGGAGAAGGAUAGUGCUGACUUUGGCAAGAUGAAGGAGAUGGAGAAGCUGGCUCAGGAGCUGAAGGAGAUGAAGUUCACUCUUAGGUCUCAGGGGGAGAUCAUUAGGAACACAAGGAAGGAGAGGGAUGAGAUGAAGAAAGAGAGGGACUGGCUGAUAGAGGAGAAGAAGAAGCUGGAGUUUCUGGUGGGUGAUCUUAUGAAAGCUGGUCAUGGCAACAAGGACAAGCUUGCCAAAAUCAAGUCAAUCCUUGAUGAGUGA
rnacentral:rRNA from 1 species